GUCUGGGUAGGCCAUAAUGGGUGUCUACUGAUGGAAAGGCCAAUCAUCCUUGGUUCUGUCCAGGAGACUAGUUAUCUCAGCAGUUUCAAUCUGGUGCUAGGGUCCUAGAAGAUUCCUAAAGAGCUCCUGGUCUUUAAUCUGUGUUGGAAUCCCAAAAAGUAGGUUCUAAAAUGAGCAAAGGAAUGCCUCAGAACCUUGAUGGAUCAAUUUGCCAGUGUGCUGGCAAGAGAGUGGGGAGAGAGAGGGGAUGGCAGAAGGAGGCCCAUAGCUAGCCUUGCAGGCUCAUGCUGUAAUUGGAAACUGAAAGUCAGGGAUGAGGAAAGUGUAGCAGCAAAGGAAACCUACUUUCUUGUGGUAAUGAAUACAAAUCUCUCUGCUUGAGUGACCGGUGCAUGCGAAGCAUGUGUGUUCAGUGCAAGUGUGCUCAAUGCAGGUAUGUUCAGGGCAGGUGUGCUCAAUGCAGGUGUGUUCAGGGCAGGUGUGCUCACUGCAGGUGUGUUCAGGGCAGGUGUGCUCACUGCAGGUGUGUUCAGGGCAGGUGUGUUCAGUGCAGGUGUGUUCAGUACAGGUGUGUUCAGUGCAAGUGUGCUCAAUGCAGGUGUGUUCAGGGCAGGUGUGCUCACUGCAGGUGUGUUCAGGGCAG
rnacentral:lncRNA from 1 species